GUCAUUAAAUCUUGAUACCUCAUCCGGUAUGAGGGUGAAGCGGGUCAUCCUCAUACCCCGUCCGGUAUGAGCGCCAAAUGACCAAGUCUCCAUACCCUGUCCGGUAUGAGACGACAUUCACGAAAGGGUUCCCUAUGAACCCGGUCCGUCCACCAUCUCCCAGGAUAUCUAGUGAGGCUGUCACCUUAUCUGUUUCCCUUAGUCUCCGUUACCAAGUU
rnacentral:lncRNA from 1 species